AUGAACAAGAAGAAGAAGCCUUUCCUGGCCUGGGCAUGCCCGCACCGCUCGGCUACGUGCCGGGGCUGGGCCAGGGUGCCACGGGCUUCACUACCUGAUCAGACAUUGGGCCAGCCCGGGAUGCGAAUGAUCCUGUAGAUGAUCGCCAUGCACCCAGCAAGAGAACCAUCGGGGAUCAGAUGAAAACCAGGCUGCUGAUGAUGAUGACGAGGAUCUGAAUGACACCAACUAUGACGAGUUCAAUGGCUACGCCAGAAGCCUCUUCUCAAGUGGGCCGUAUGAGAAAGAUGAUGAGGAAGCAGAUGCUAGUUAUGCAGCUCUGGAUAAAAGGAUGGAUGAAAGAAGAAAAGAAAGGAGGGAGCAAAGGGAGACAGAAGAAAUUGAGAAAUAUCGUGUGGAAUGCCCUAAAAUCCAACAGCAGUUCUCAGAUGGAAAAAGGAAGUUGGCAGAAGUCACAGAAGAAGAGUGGCUGAGCAUCCCUGAGGUUGGCAAUGCCAGAAACAAACGCCAGCGGAACCCACGCUAUGAGAAGCUGACCCCCGUUCCUGACAGUUUCUUUGCCAAACACUUACAGACUGGAGAGAACCAUACUUCAGUGGACCCCUGACAAACUCGAUUUGGAGGUCUUAAUACACCCUAUCCAGGUGGACUGAACACCCCAUAUCCAGGGGGAAUGACACCAGGAUUGAUGACACCUGGCACAGGUGAGCUGGACAUGAGGAAGAUCGGCCAGGUAAGGAAUACCCUAAUGGACAUGAGGCUAAGCCAGGUGUCUGACUCAGUGAGUGGACAGACUGGAGUUGACCCCAAAGGCUAUCUGACAGAUUUAAAUUCUAUGAUCCCGACCCACACAGAGGAUAUCAAUGGUAUCAAAAAGGCUAGACUGCUUCUCAAGUCUAUCCGUGAGACAAACCUUCAUCACCCACCAGUGUGGAAUGCGUCAGCCCGCCUCGAAGAAGUCACUGGGAAGCUGCAAGUAGCUCGGAACCUUAUCAUGAAGGGGACAGAGAUGUGCCCCAAGAGUGAAGACGUGUGGUUAGAAGCAGCCAGGUUGCAGCCUGGGGACACUGACAAGGCUGUGGUGGCCCAAGCUGUCCGGCAUCUCCCACAGUCUGUUAGGAUUUAUAUCAGAGCAGCAGAGCUGGAAACAGACAUUCAAGCAAAGAAGCGGGUUCUUUGGAAAGCUUUUGAGCAUGUCCCAAACUCGGUUCGCUUGUGGAAAGCAGCCAUUGAACUGGAAGAGCCUGAAGAUGCUAGAUUCAUGCUCAGCCGUGCUAUGGAGUGCUGCCCCACCAGCGUGGAGCUCUGGCUUGCUCUGGCAAGGCUGGAGACCUAUGAAAAUGCCCAAAAGGUCUUGAACAAAGCAGAUGAGAACAUUCCUACUGACCGGCACAUCUGGAUCACUGCUGCCAAACUGGAGGAGGCCAGUGGGAACACACAGAUGGUGGAGAAGAUCAUUGACAGGGCUAUCACUUCUCUGCGGGCCAAUGGUGUAGAGAUCAACCAUGAGCAGUGGAUUCAGGAUGCCGAGGAAUGUGACAGGGCAGGGAGCGUGGCCACCUGCUAGGCAGUCAUGCGCGCUGUGAUUGGCAUCGGGAUUGAGGAGGAGGAUCGGAAGCACACCUGGAUGAAAGAUGCAGAUAGUUGCGUGGCCCACAGUGCCCUGGAGUGCGCAUGCGCCCUCUAUGCCUACGCCCUGCAGGUGUUCCCCAGCAAGAGGAGCGUGUGGCUACGAGCUGCAUACUUUGAGAAGAACCACGGCACCAGGGAGUCCCUGGAAGCCCUCCUGCAGAGGGCUGUGGCUCAUUGCCCGAAAGCGGAGGUGCUACGGCUCAUGGGAGCCAAGUCCAAGUGGCUGGCAGGGGAUGUGCCCGCAGCAAGGAGCAUCUUGGCUCUGGCCUUCCAGGCUAACCCCAACAGCGAGUAGAUCUGGCUGGCAGCCGUGAAGCUGGAGUCCCAGAACAAUGAGUACGAGCGGGCUCAGAGGCUGCUGGCUAAGGCACGGAGCAGUGCACCCACUGCUCGGGUGUUCAUGAAGUCUGUGAAGCUGGAGUGGGUGUUGGGCGGCACCGCAGCCGCGCAGGAGCUGUGUGAGGAGGCCUUGCGUCUGUAUGAGGACUUCCCCAAGCUGUGGAUGAUGAAGGGGCAGAUGGAGGAGCAGGAAGGGCAGAUGGAGAAGGCACACAAGGCCUACAGCCAGGGGUUGAAGAAGUGUCCCAACUCUACACCCCUGGGGCUUUUGCUCUCACAGCUGGAAGAGAAGAUUGGGCAGCUCACCCGGGCAUGGGCUACUCUGGAGAAGUCUCAUCUGAGGAACCCAAAGAACCCUGAGCUAUGGCUGGAGUCUGUGUGGCUGGAGUACUGUGCGGGGCUGAAGAACAUUGCCGACACUCUCAUGACCAAGGCACUGCAGGAGUGCCCCAACUCCGGUAUCCUGUGGUCUGAAGCCAUUUUCCUUGAGGCAAGGCCCCAGAGGGAGACGAAGUGCGUGGAUGCCCUGAAUAAGCGUGAACACGAUCCCCAUGUGCUCCUGGCUGUGGCCAAGCUGCUUUGGAGCGAGCGGAAGAUCACCAAGGCCAGGGAGUGGUUCCACCGCACCGUGAAGAUUGAGCCAGACCUGGGGGAUACACUGAAGAGCAGCGGGCGGAGGUGAGGAAGCGCUGUGAGAACGCAGAGCCCCGGCAUGGGGAACUGUGUGCGCCGUGUCCAAGGACAUUACCAACCGGCAGAGGAAGAUUGGAGAGAUCCUUGUGCUGGGAACCGGCCACAUCAAGAACACCUUCUGA